rnacentral:rRNA from 1 species
UACAGAGGGUGCAAGCGUUGUUCGGAAUUAUUGGGCGUAAAGGGUGCGUAGGCGGUGCGGUAAGUCUGUAGUGAAAUCUCUGGGCUCAACUCAGAGGCUGCUUCCGAAACUACCGUGCUAGAGUGCGAGAGAGGCAAGUGGAAUUGCGGGUGUAGCGGUGAAAUGCGUAGAUAUCCGCAGGAACAUCCGAGGCGAAAGCGGCUUGCUGGAUCGCAACUGACGCUGAGAGACGAAAGCUAGGGGAGCAAACAGG